GAAGAAUGUCCAACUAGAAAACACUCUGCUCCAUUAGCCUGAGAUAUGGUUGAGGAGAAACUUCGAUUACUGCUCUUGUUCUUAAGUGUUUAUUACCUGGACAAAUUGCCGCUUUCACCUAGGUUUCCUGUAGUUCUUCUCAGCAAAAAAGCUCCUGUUGGCAUUCCUCCUGCUUAUUCCGGAAGCAACAGCUUCAGCUCCCUAAGAUUUUGGGCACUGCGAGCACCAACCCGAGUGCCCCCUCAGAGAGCAAAGCACUAGUUCUGCAUCACCACCUCAGCAAUCACCAGCUGCACGGACCCUUGAAGAGUCAGAAGUAACUUCUCUCAGAGGUAUUAAGGUAGACAAGCCUCAUAAAAUGAGUUGGGAAUAUUCCCUUUUUCUGUUCUCUGG
rnacentral:lncRNA from 1 species